GUUGUGGCUCAGUGGUAGAGUGUUUGCCUUGCAUGUGUGAGGCACUGGGUUCAAUCCUCAGCACCACA
rnacentral:tRNA from 1 species